AUUGAACGCUGGCGGCGUGCCUAACACAUGCAAGUCGAGCGAAUUUAUGGGAGCUUGCUCCCAUACGUUAGCGGCGCACGGGUGAGUAACACGUGGACAAUCUACCCAUCAGCACGGGAUAACAGUUGGAAACGGCUGCUAAUACCGUAUACGAUCCAAUUAACCUUGGGUGAAAGGAGGCCUCUGCAUAUGCUUUCACUGAUGGAUGAGUCCGCGCCUCAUUAGGUAGACGGCGGGGUAACGGCCCACCGUGCCGACGAUGAGUAGCCGGCCUGAGAGGGUAAUCGGCCACACUGGGACUGGAACACGGCCCAGACUCCUACGGGAGGCAGCAGUGGGGAAUAUUGCGCAAUGGACGAAAGUCUGACGCAGCGACGCCGCGUGAGGGAUGAAGGCCUUCGGGUCGUAAACCUCUGUCAGGAGGGAAGAACCGCAAUCGUGCUAAUCAGCGAUUGUCUGACGGUACCUCCAAAGGAAGCACCGGCUAACUCCGUGCCAGCAGCCGCCGUAAAAC
rnacentral:rRNA from 1 species